rnacentral:rRNA from 1 species
GACGAACGCUGGCGGCGUGCCUAAUACAUGCAAGUCGAGCGAGACUCUUCGGAGUCUAGCGGCGGACGGGUGAGUAACACGUGGGCAACCUGCCUGUAAGACUGGGAUAACACCGGGAAACCGGCGCUAAUACCGGAUAAUCCUUUUCCUCUCAUGAGGGAAAGCUGAAAGUCGGUUUCGGCUGACACUUACAGAUGGGCCCGCGGCGCAUUAGCUAGUUGGUGAGGUAACGGCUCACCAAGGCGACGAUGCGUAGCCGACCUGAGAGGGUGAUCGGCCACACUGGGACUGAGACACGGCCCAGACUCCUACGGGAGGCAGCAGUAGGGAAUCUUCCACAAUGGACGAAAGUCUGAUGGAGCAACGCCGCGUGAGCGAUGAAGGCCUUCGGGUCGUAAAGCUCUGUUGUUAGGGAAGAACAAGUACCGAAGUAACUGCCGGUACCUUGACGGUACCUAACCAGAAAGCCACGGCUAACUACGUGCCAGCCGCCGCCGUAAAAC